rnacentral:rRNA from 1 species
AACGCUAGCUACAGGCUUAACACAUGCAAGUCGAGGGACAGCAUGGUUGUAGCAAUACAACCGAUGGCGACCGGCGCACGGGUGAGUAACACGUAUCCAACCUGGCCUUUACUCGGGGAUAGCCUUUCGAAAGAAAGAUUAAUACCCGAUGGCAUUUGGGGCCCGCAUGGGUUCCUUCUUAAAGAUUUAUCGGUAAAGGAUGGGGAUGCGUUCCAUUAGGCAGUUGGCGGGGUAACGGCCCACCAAACCGACGAUGGAUAGGGGUUCUGAGAGGAAGGUCCCCCACAUUGGAACUGAGACACGGUCCAAACUCCUACGGGAGGCAGCAGUGAGGAAUAUUGGUCAAUGGACGCAAGUCUGAACCAGCCAAGUAGCGUGAAGGAUGACCGCCCUAUGGGUUGUAAACUUCUUUUAUAUAGGAAUAAAGUGCAGCACGUGUGCUGUUUUGUAUGUACUAUAUGAAUAAGCAUCGGCUAACUCCGUGCCAGCAGCCGCGGUAAUACGGAGGAUGCGAGCGUUAUCCGGAUUUAUUGGGUUUAAGGGGAGCGCAGACGGGAGAUUAAGUCAGUUGUGAAAGUUUGCGGCUCAACCGUAAAAUUGCAGUUGAAACUGGCAUUCUUGAGUGCAGUUGAGGUGGAUGGAAUUCGUGGUGUAGCGGUGAAAUGCUUAGAUAUCACGAAGAACUCCGAUUG